rnacentral:rRNA from 1 species
AGCAGCCGCGGUAAAUUCCAGCUCCAAUAGCGUAUAUUAAAGUUGUUGCAGUUAAAAAGCUCGUAGUUGAAUUUCGGGAUUAGUACGUUGGUCGUGCCUUCGGUACGUACUGGUGUUACUGAUUCCUACCUUCUGACGAACCAUCAUGUCAUUAAUUUGGUGUGGCGGGGAAUCAGGACUGUUACUUUGAAAAAAUUAGAGUGUUUAAAGCAGGCUCGCGCUUGAAUACAUUAGCAUGGAAUAAUGAAAUAGGACGUUGAUCCUAUUUUGUUGGUUUCUAGGAUUGACGUAAUGAUUAAUAGGGAUAGUUGGGGGCAUUAGUAUUCAAUUGUCAGAGGUGAAAUUCUUGGAUUUAUUGAAGACUAACUACUGCGAAAGCAUUUGCCAAGGAUGUUUU